ACGCUCGACACCUACGGGAGGCAGCAGUUGGGAAUAUUGGACAAUGGAGGAAACUCUGAUCCAGUGACGCCGCGUGAAGGAAGAAGGUCUUCGGAUUGUAAACUUAUUUUGUCAGGGAAGAAAAAUGACUGUACCUGAAGAAAAAGCACCGGCUAACUACGUGCCAGCAGCUGCGGUAAUCUGAGGCGGGCUGGCAAGGC
rnacentral:rRNA from 1 species